GGAAGUGUGGCAGAGUGGUCUAUUGCAUCGGUCUUGAAAACCGAAGGGUCGAAAGGCUCCGUGAGUUCGAAUCUCACCACUUCCUCCA
rnacentral:tRNA from 1 species